GGGUGUGUAUAAAGUGGCGAACGGCUGAGUAACACGUGGGCAACCUGCCUUUUACUUUGGGAUAGCCUCGGGAAACCGAGGAUAAUACCGAAUACUUUGUAUGUAUCGCAUGGUAUAUACAAGAAAGCUUUUGCGGUAAAAGAUGGGCCCGCGGCCUGUUAGCUUGUUGGUGAGGUAACGGCUCACCAAGGCAAUGAUGGGUAGCCGGGUUGAGAGACCGACCGGCCAGAUUGGGACUGAGACACGGCCCAGACUCCUACGGGAGGCAGCAGUGGGGAAUCUUGCGCAAUGGGGGAAACCCUGACGCAGCGACGCCGCGUGCGGGAUGAAGGCCUUCGGGUUGUAAACCGCUUUCAGCAGGGACGAGGCCUUAUGGUGACGGU
rnacentral:rRNA from 1 species